rnacentral:rRNA from 1 species
UACGUAGGUCCCGAGCGUUGUCCGGAUUUAUUGGGCGUAAAGCGAGCGCAGGUGGUUUAUUAAGUCUGGUGUAAAAGGCAGUGGCUCAACCAUUGUAUGCAUUGGAAACUGGUAGACUUGAGUGCAGGAGAGGAGAGUGGAAUUCCAUGUGUAGCGGUGAAAUGCGUAGAUAUACGGAAGAACACCAGUGGCGAAAGCGGCUCUCUGGUCUGUAACUGACGCUGAGGUUCGAAAGCGUGGGUAGCAAACAGG